UUUUGAGCACUGCGCUCAUACUCUUCUGUCUUCCGUUUGUAUUUCCUAAGCGUGAAGAUUAUCAUUGUCUGCAGAAUUCAUAAGAAGACACAAAAUGUGCUGGGCGGCAGCGGCACCGUCUGUCUGGGUGGUGCUGGGAUCUGUGGGAGUGGGUGCAACUGUGGGUGCAGGAGUGGGCGCUGGAGGGGGGAUUGGG